UUUAAGUGAUAUGGCUCUUAGUUAAUUUAUUUUGGUUAUAACAAGUAGUUUUCAUUAAUAAUAUAGGAAGUGGCUUGCAUAGUUGUUGGUAGUCGUUUAUCACCUCCACAAAGUUACUCGUAGUAACUCAUAAUGCUUGAAUCAAACUAUCUUUUCAAACAAAAAUAGAAUCCCUUUGUGUGUUUGUGCGGUUGGAACACCCCGGACACUUGUUCAUGGAAACUAGUCUUAUAAUAACACCGUUGCAAUUGAGCACAUCACAGCUGGAAUUGCGUAUAGUAGGCCAGAGAUAUGUAUUGCUUCCUAGGCUUCGAGUUUGUGUAAUACCUAGUGUAGAAACAUUAUUAUUUACUUUAUCUCACGUGGAAAUUAUAUAAAUCUAAAGAGUCUCGUGCUAGUAUUUCUUGAAAUUCUGUUUGAUAAGGAUUUUAUAGUGUAUGAAAGUUAUGAGAAUAUGUGUUCUCCUUAUGCUCAUUAUUCCAAUAAUUGAGUGGAUUCCUUCCCUCGUGCUGUAUUGUUGUUUUGGAGCUUGCCCGAGAAGCUUCCCUUCUAGGAGAUUCGCUACGUCACCAAAACAUUGCUCCCAUCUUUUCAGUGACCAUACUGAAAUAUGUGAGUGGUGGUGGCAUAUUGAUGGCAGCUAGGAUAUUUUUGGAUCCAUUUGUAUUCGUUUGACAUGCCUCUCACACAUUUCUUUGAGUGCUAUUCAAGAGAGGGAAUUUUCAUUGAUAGGGCUUGAUGCCAUCUUAUCACCUACCUACUGAAAUAUGUGAAUUAAUGUGGAUUGAUCCAUUGUUUAUUUUAUAAUCCUAUUUAAAUUGCUGUUUUGAUGAUUCCUUAGGCAUGUGAAGACAAAGCAUCUACAAUGGAUUGUGUGGGACAAAUCCUGAGUCGACAAGAUAAAGAUGGAUGCUAUACAAAAGAGAAAAGAAAGAAUAUGAAACAAUGAAACAAAAGAGAAUAUCGAAGGAGGAGAUACUUCGUCUAAUGGAAGAAAAGAAACAACUAAAAGAAGUGGUUGUCAAUGAUGAAUGGGGAGCUAUUCUAAGCAGGAUGAAAUCUGAACGCUUGAUUGAAGACACAGCUUGAUACUCCACAGAGUUCCUGCACAGUUUCUCAUAGAGAAUUAGAAGGCAUGUGAAGACAAAGCCUGUACAAUGGAUUCUGUGGGUCAAAUCCUGAGUCGGCAAGAUAA